AACGCAUAUGGCACCCGAGACCUCGGUCGAGGGUAUGUCUGCCUCAGAGUCGGCGUAAUACAACUCCCCGCUGGGCGAAACGUUUCGCCCAGCGGGGGAACUGACCUUUCCGCGGCGCUGCCGCGGGUCGGUCGAAGGAUAGAAACGGGCGUCGCCGGCCGGGAGCCCUCCCUGGCUACCGAGAUUUGCUGGAUUACCAUCUCUAUCUCGGUCCAAGGUUGCAGGCACCGUCGCACACGACCCGCACUGCAGGAAAACGGGGCCUUUGGGCCCCCUUGCAUCCGACCUGAGUUCAGGCAAGAUCACCCGCUGAACUUAA
rnacentral:misc_RNA from 1 species